rnacentral:rRNA from 1 species
UAUGGGCCGCCGGGAAUACUACAAAGCUAGGGAGUGGGAGAGGUAGACGGUACUCCGUAGGAAGGGGUAAAAUCCUUUGAUCUAUGGAUGACCACCUGUGGCGAAGGCGGUCUACCAGAACACGUCCGACGGUGAGGGAUGAAAGCUGGGGGAGCAAACCGGAUUAGAUACCCGGGUAGUCCCAGCUGUAAACUAUGCAAACUCAGUGAUGCAUUGGCUUGUGGCCAAUGCAGUGCCGCAGAGAAGUCGUUAAGUUUGCCGCCUGGGAAGUACGUACGCAAGUAUGAAACUUAAAGGAAUUGGCGGGGGAGCACCACAAGGGGUGAAGCCUGCGGUUCAAUUGGAGUCAACGCCAGAAAUCUUACCCGGAGAGACAGCAGGAUGAAGGUCAAGCCGAAGACGUUACCAGACAAGCUGAGAGGUGGUGCAUGGCCGUCGUCAGCUCGUGCCGUGAGAUGUCCUGUUAAGUCAGGUAACGAGCGAGAUCCCUGCCUCUAGUUGCCACCAUUACUCUCAGGAGUAGUGGGGCGAAUUAGCGGGACCGCUGCAGUUAAUGCGGAGGAAGGAAGGGGCCACGG